UACAGAGGGUGCAAGCGUUAAUCGGAAUUACUGGGCGUAAAGCGUGCGUAGACGGUUAUGUAAGUCAGAUGUGAAAGCCCCGGGCUCAACCUGGGAAUUGCAUUUGAGACUGCAUAGCUAGGGUGCGGAAGAGGGUAGCGGAAUUUCGGGUGUAGCGGUGAAAUGCGUAGAUAUCCGAAGGAACAUCAGUGGCGAAAGCGGCUUCCUGGACCAGAACUGACGAUCAGGCACGAAAGCGUGGGGAGCAAACAGG
rnacentral:rRNA from 1 species